ACGCUGGCGGCGUGCCUAAUACAUGCAAGUAGAACGCUGAAGGAGGAGCUUGCUUCUCUGGAUGAGUUGCGAACGGGUGAGUAACGCGUAGGUAACCUGCCUGGUAGUGGGGGAUAACUAUUGGAAACGAUAGCUAAUACCGCAUAACAGUAGAUGUUGCAUGACAUUUGCUUAAAAGGUGCAAUUGCAUCACUACCAGAUGGACCUGCGUUGUAUUAGCUAGUUGGUGGGGUAACGGCUCACCAAGGCGACGAUACAUAGCCGACCUGAGAGGGUGAUCGGCCACACUGGGACUGAGACACGGCCCAGACUCCUACGGGAGGCAGCAGUAGGGAAUCUUCGGCAAUGGACGGAAGUCUGACCGAGCAACGCCGCGUGAGUGAAGAAGGUUUUCGGAUCGUAAAGCUCUGUUGUAAGAGAAGAACAGGUGUGAGAGUGGAAAGUUCACACUGUGACGGUAUCUUACCAGAAAGGGACGGCUAACUACGUGCCAGCAGCCGCGGUAAUACGUAGGUCCCGAGCGUUGUCCGGAUUUAUUGGGCGUAAAGCGAGCGCAGGCGGUUAGAUAAGUCUGAAGUUAAAGGCUGUGGCUUAACCAUAGUACGCUUUGGAAACUGUUUAACUUGAGUGCAAGAGGGGAGAGUGGAAUUCCAUGUGUAGCGGUGAAAUGCGUAGAUAUAUGGAGGAACACCGGUGGCGAAAGCGGCUCUCUGGCUUGUAACUGACGCUGAGGCUCGAAAGCGUGGGGAGCAAACAGGAUUAGAUACCCCUGGUAGUCCACGCCGUAAACGAUGAGUGCUAGGUGUUAGACCCUUUCCGGGGUUUAGUGCCGCAGCUAACGCAUUAAGCACUCCGCCUGGGGAGUACGACCGCAAGGUUGAAACUCAAAGGAAUUGAC
rnacentral:rRNA from 1 species